rnacentral:rRNA from 1 species
GAUGAACGCUGGCGGCGUGCCUAAUACAUGCAAGUCGAGCGAACAGACGAGGUGCUUGCUCCUCUGACGUUAGCGGCGGACGGGUGAGUAACACGUGGAUAACCUACCUAUAAGACUGGGAUAACUUCGGGAAACCGGAGCUAAUACCGGAUAAUAUAUUGAACCGCAUGGUUCAAUAGUGAAAGACGGUGUUGCUGUCACUUAUAGACGGUUCCCCUCCUCAUUAGGUAGUUGGUAAGGUAACGGCUUACCAAGGCAACGAUGCGUAGCCGACCAGAGCAGGUGAUCGGCCAGACUGGAGCGGAGACACGGUCCAGAGUCCUAUGGGAGGCAGCAGUAGGGAAUCUUCCGCGAUGGGGGAGAGAAUGACGGAGCAACGCCGCGUGAGUGAUGAAGGUAUUCGGAUCGUAAGACUCUGUUAUUAGGGAAGAACAAAUGUGUAAGUAACUAUGCACGAAUUGACGGUACCUGAUCAGAAAGCCACGGCUAACUACGUG